UCCCCCUGCCAUACCACCUCGAAUGUGCCCUAUCUCACCUGAUCUCAGAAGGUAAGCAGGAUGGGCCUGUUAAUAUUUGGAUGGAAGACCAUCAGGGGAUACCUGGUGCUGUGUGUG
rnacentral:rRNA from 1 species